UCACCUCAUCUGAGUUGCAAGAAGAUUCAGUACCAUUUACCCUUGUCUGGGAAGAACCAAGACUGAGGAGUGGAUUUCACUUCACUCAUCCAGCUGCUCAUAGUCCUCAGACAUGCCUUGAAAAAGAAAGGUCUGUUCAGAUGUGAAUAUCAGAGAUAAGCCACAAAGGACAGAAAUACGUUUGUCACCUAACUGCACUAGGUCUAUUGUGACAAAGGAUGUCUGCAGAGCCACAGUGAAGACACCAUCAGUGUUGGAGUCAAGUUUACGCAGGAGGUGUGUGAGCCAGAAAAAUGAAUCUGGCUGUGUAGCAUACACAAGAAGUGAAUUCCUAGACUGUUCAUUAAUGAAGCCUGGAGACUGGGAAGAUUAUUGCAAUAGGAAUUAUGUUUAAUGAAGGAGGCAUCUGCUUUGGAGGAGUAGUGUAUGUCCUA